rnacentral:rRNA from 1 species
UACGGAGGGUGCAAGCGUUAUCCGGAUUUACUGGGUUUAAAGGGUGUGUAGGCGGGCUUUUAAGUCAGUGGUGAAAUCUCCGGGGCUCAACCUGGAAACUGCCAUUGAUACUAUUAGUCUUGAAUUUUGUUGAGGUAGGCGGAAUAAGUCAUGUAGCGGUGAAAUGCAUAGAUAUGACUUAGAACACCAAUUGCGAAGGCAGCUUGCUAAACAAAUAUUGACGCUGAGGCACGAAAGCGUGGGGAUCAAACAGG